UACGUAUGGUGCAAGCGCUAUCCGGAUUUACUGGGCGUAAAGGGAGCGCAGGCGGUGCGCCAAGUCUGAUGUGAAACCCCGGGGCUCAACCCCGGGCAUGCAUUGGAAACUGGCGGGCUGGAGUGCCGGAGAGGUAAGCGGAAUUCCUAGUGUAGCGGUGAAAUGCGUAGAUAUUAGGAGGAACACCAGUGGCGAAGGCGGCUUACUGGACGGCAACUGACGCUGAGGCUCGAAAGCGUGGGGAGCAAACAGG
rnacentral:rRNA from 1 species